rnacentral:misc_RNA from 1 species
GAAACACAAGAGCGCUCUUCAUUGAGGCUCGUUUUAACUAUCCAUUACACUUAGUGCACUUGAAAUUACAACACUUUGCUUGUCAAAGUCGUUUAACAUUAUAACCCCUUUGAAUUUAUUUGUUUGAUGAUGAUGUAUAAACCUUGAAAUGAAAGAAACAACUUUCAGCAACGGAUUUCUUGGCUCU